GACGAACGCUGGCGGCGUGCCUUACACAUGCAAGUCGAACGGUAACGCGGGGCAACCUGGCGACGAGUGGCGAACGGGUGAGUAAUGUAUCGGAACGUGCCCAGUUGUGGGGGAUAACUGCUCGAAAGAGCAGCUAAUACCGCAUACGACCUGAGGGUGAAAGCGGGGGAUCGCAAGACCUCGCGCAGUUGGAGCGGCCGAUAUCAGAUUAGGUAGUUGGUGGGGUAAAGGCUCACCAAGCCAACGAUCUGUAGCUGGUCUGAGAGGACGACCAGCCACACUGGGACUGAGACACGGCCCAGACUCCUACGGGAGGCAGCAGUGGGGAAUUUUGGACAAUGGGCGCAAGCCUGAUCCAGCCAUGCCGCGUGCGGGAAGAAGGCCUUCGGGUUGUAAACCGCUUUUGUCAGGGAAGAAAAGACUCCUGUUAAUACCGGGGGUUCAUGACGGUACCUGAAGAAUAAGCACCGGCUAACUACGUGCCAGCCGCCGCGGUAA
rnacentral:rRNA from 1 species